UGUGCAAGUACGUAACCUCAUGAUCACGUGUCCUAUAUUGACCAAUGACAGAGACGCUACAUAGCAAUAGAAGUGACAAGGAGAGAGCA